GAAAGCCGUAUGAUGGGAAACUAUCACGUACGGUUUGGGAAAGGAUUUUUGGUUAAUGACAAAUAUAAAAGUUGCAAUUUCCCCUAAGGGACGGUUGAUCUUAUUUAUUUAUUGGGGGCAUUUUUCUAUUUCAC
rfam:Chaetomium globosum CBS 148.51 scaffold_13 mitochondrial scaffold, whole genome shotgun sequence.